rnacentral:tRNA from 1 species
UCCCUACUGGCUCAGUGGGAAAGAAUCUGCCUGUGAUGCAGGAGACCUGGGUUCGAUCCCUGGGUUGGGAA